CGCUGGCGGCGUGAUAACACAUGCAAGUCUACGAUGAUCCCAGCUUGCUGGGGGAUUAGUGGCGAACGGGUGAGUAACACGUGAGUAACCUGCCCUUAACUCUGGGAUAAGCCUGGGAAACUGGGUCUAAUACCGGAUAUGACUCCUCAUCGCAUGGUGGGGGGUGGAAAGCUUUAUUGUGGUUUUGGAUGGACUCGCGGCCUAUCAGCUUGUUGGUGAGGUAAUGGCUCACCAAGGCGACGACGGGUAGCCGGCCUGAGAGGGUGACCGGCCACACUGGGACUGAGACACGGCCCAGACUCCUACGGGAGGCAGCAGUGGGGAAUAUUGCACAAUGGGCGCAAGCCUGAUGCAGCGACGCCGCGUGAGGGAUGACGGCCUUCGGGUUGUAAACCUCUUUCAGUAGGGAAGAAGCGAAAGUGACGGUACCUGCAGAAGAAGCGCCGGCUAACUACGUGCCAGCAGCCGCGGUAAUACGUAGGGCGCAAGCGUUAUCCGGAAUUAUUGGGCGUAAAGAGCUCGUAGGCGGUUUGUCGCGUCUGCCGUGAAAGUCCGGGGCUCAACUCCGGAUCUGCGGUGGGUACGGGCAGACUAGAGUGAUGUAGGGGAGACUGGAAUUCCUGGUGUAGCGGUGAAAUGCGCAGAUAUCAGGAGGAACACCGAUGGCGAAGGCAGGUCUCUGGGCAUUAACUGACGCUGAGGAGCGAAAGCAUGGGGAGCGAACAGGAUUAGAUACCCUGGUAGUCCAUGCCGUAAACGUUGGGCACUAGGUGUGGGGGACAUUCCACGUUUUCCGCGCCGUAGCUAACGCAGUAAGUGCCCCGCCUGGGGAGUACGGCCGCAAGGCUANNACUCAAAGGAAUUGACGGGGGCCCGCACAAGCGGCGGAGCAUGCGGAUUAAUUCGAUGCAACGCGAAGAACCUUACCAAGGCUUGACAUGAACCGGAAACACCUGGAAACAGGUGCCCCGCUUGCGGUCGGUUUACAGGUGGUGCAUGGUUGUCGUCAGCUCGUGUCGUGAGAUGUUGGGUUAAGUCCCGCAACGAGCGCAACCCUCGUUCUAUGUUGCCAGCGCGUGAUGGCGGGGACUCAUAGGAGACUGCCGGGGUCAACUCGGAGGAAGGUGGGGACGACGUCAAAUCAUCAUGCCCCUUAUGUCUUGGGCUUCACGCAUGCUACAAUGGCCGGUACAAAGGGUUGCGAUACUGUGAGGUGGAGCUAAUCCCAAAAAGCCGGUCUCAGUUCGGAUUGGGGUCUGCAACUAGACCCCAUGAAGUCGGAGUCGCUAGUAAUCGCAGAUCAGCAACG
rnacentral:rRNA from 1 species